CCUGGGUGACAGAGCAAGACUCUGCCUCAAAAAACAAAACAAAACAAACAAACAAAGACAACACCAUCUCAAGAAUAAUCUGACCCUAAUAUCAGUGAUGCUAAGACCCAGAGACCCUGGUGGAAGGGAUGUUCCAGCCAGGAGUGGCCUUUCUUGUGAAAUGUGUGUGUUGUUUGCGUCCCGACAGGUUCAAGUGAUGAAGCUGGGCAGGCUGAGGCCACCAGAGGGUUUCCUGGGUCCCUGUUCCUGCCACACACCUUGAAUCCUCAAUGCCAAGGCAGUUCCAAACCCGAGGGACCCCCAGGAGGACACCAGGUCUGGACAUGAAGGUUUGGCAGCAAACUGUCAGGACCUCUGGAGAGAACCCUGGCUCCUGCGCUGACCCAACUGUGUCUGGCUCAAUGCUCGAAGCUCAAACACAGCAAAGGGCAAGUCGGCAAGUUUCAGUCCAGGAUGUACAUUUCGGCAAAAAUGGCAGCCAGUCUCUCCUCCAGAACCUUCCGGAGAGGCACCACUGCAGCUACCACGGCUGCAGCUACCAGGCACCAGGCACCAGCUGACCAGGAGGGAGGAACCACAAGGCUGCUGUGUCCAGGGUCAGCCAGCAGACCCGGGGUGAGGGUGGGGAUGACAGGGACGCCAGCACACUUGCUGUGCACAAAGUGCCUUGUGACAGUGAGUUCGUCUUGGCCUCUGUCCCAAGAUGAGGUUUUGAUGACACGCAUGGAAUUUCUAACAAUGAGAUGGAGUGUGUGGUUUU